CUUCGGGCUCUGUGCAAUAGAAACCUUCAAACCCCGCCAGGUCCGGAAGGAAGCAACGGUAGAGGGAGCUUCUAUGUGCCACAGAACCACCCGAAGUCU
rnacentral:SRP_RNA from 1 species